rnacentral:rRNA from 1 species
AAUAGAUACCCAGGUAGUCCACGCCGUAAACGAUGAGUGCUAAGUGUUAGGGGGUUUCCGCCCCUUAGUGCUGCAGCUAACGCAUUAAGCACUCCGCCUGGGGAGUACGGUCGCAAGACUGAAACUCAAAGGAAUUGACGGGGGCCCGCACAAGCGGUGGAGCAUGUAGUUUAAUUCGAAGCAACGCGAAGAACCUUACCAGGUCUUGACAUCCCAUUGACCACUAUGGAGACAUAGUUUUCCCUUCGGGGACAACGGUGACAGGUGGUGCAUGGUUGUCGUCAGCUCGUGUCGUGAGAUGUUGGGUUAAGUCCCGCAACGAGCGCAACCCUUGUUCUUAGUUGCCAUCAUUUAGUUGGGCACUCUAAGGAGACUGCCGGUGACAAACCGGAGGAAGGUGGGGAUGACGUCAAAUCAUCAUGCCCCUUAUGACCUGGGCUACACACGUGCUACAAUGGACGGUACAAACGGUUGCCAACCCGCGAGGGGGAGCUAAUCCGAUAAAACCGUUCUCAGUUCGGAUUGUAGGCUGCAACUCGCCUACA